UUCCGACGUUGCGUUGCUUGAUCGACUUUGCCAGAAGCACCUUCAUUGAUACAAAAAGAUGAUGGCAGCAAAACUCUAAAACAAUUUCGAACACUUGCUCGGGGAUAAAUGCUGCAGGGGUUCACUAUGAUCGUUCUGCUAUGUAGCUUUUCUCUGCUCUUCGAGUUUUUUUACACCAAUCUGAAGCAACAAAAUCAACGGCAGCUGCAGCUCCGCAUCAACUACGCGUCAGGUUUUCCGCAGUCAUCAUAUCUGAUGGUAAAAUGGUUAAAUCUAAUAAUGCUAGUCAUGGCCACUCAACAUCAAAAAGUGGUUGGAAAGCCCAUUGUUCAGAUUUAGAACGCGAUUUAAAAGAUUUCACAUGAAGUCUGAUGUAUCUAAGAGAAUCUGUAAUCGUUUUCAGAUGCUUCUGUUCAAAUGUAUCUGUAAUCUGCAUCACCCUAGGAGCUCUCUCUCAUCAACAUCAUUUAUCAAGCCUAGUGUAGUUUUUAGUGCCUAGUGAGUUUUUCAUUCAAAUAUCGGGAUUACAUACAAUUGGAUAUAAACAGAGAUAGCUAUAGGAAUACAUUGGUAUUAAUUUUAUAUAAGAGCGGAUGCGCCAAAAAGGUUUUCAGUAAAUCGCGUUUUAAGUAUGACAGCUCUAUUACCCAGCAAAAAUAUUAUUUUAUUUCCUCAAUACUUACUCAUUCAACCAUCCGGCUCCGGCAACGUUAGGAGACCUACUUUUUAAUUCAACACGCUUGUCAGUAGGUCUUUCACUUAGCUAACAACUCGAUUUUUUUUUACAUUUGGCGCAUUACCAAUUUUGAAUGAAAUUUAAAUAGAAAAAUGAUUUUUAAAAUGUUAAU